GAGUAAAAGUCGUAACAAGGUUUCCGUAGGUGAACCUGCGGAAGGAUCAUUAUUGAAUGAAUCGGGGGACUGUUGCUGGCCCGUCAAAGGGCAUGUGCACGUCUCCCAAUUUGCCUUCUUCCACCUGUGCACUUUUUGUAGACCCGGGAGAGCACCUCUCGAGGCAACUCGGAUUGAGGGGUCGCUGGUAACGGCUUCCCUUGAGCUUUCCCAGGUCUAUGCUUUUCACACACACUUUGAAUGUCUCAGAAUGUCUUUUAAUGGCUUGCCGUAAAAAGCAACGCUAUAAAACUUAUACAACUUUCAACAACGGAUCUCUUGGCUCUCGCAUCGAUGAAGAACGCAGCGAAAUGCGAUAAGUAAUGUGAAUUGCAGAAUUCAGUGAAUCAUCGAAUCUUUGAACGCACCUUGCGCUCCUUGGUAUUCCGAGGAGCAUGCCUGUUUGAGUGUCAUUAAAUUCUCAACCUUCCCAGCUUUUACCGGCCGGAGGAGGAUUGGAUUGUGGGGGUUGCGGGCCUCGAUUUAGAGGUCGGCUCUCCUUAAACGCAUUAGCGGAACGUCUCGCGGGACCGUCACUUGGUGUGAUAAUUAUCUACGCCUCAUGACUGCGAUCGCCUCUGGUUCAGCUUCUAACCGUCCGUUCGCUCGGACAGCUUUUUGACAAUUG
rnacentral:rRNA from 1 species